UAAAUGCUUGUUCUUGUUGCUGCAGUCCUUAGAUUUAUGAGUUAAUUUCCAUGCUUAUUGUUAAUAUGAAUCGUUCAUGGGCCAGAAAUAGGCUUCACUAUUACAAGCACGAAACGAGCUUGUUUGAUUUAUAAAUGCUUGGAACCCACCCACAUCUUCUAAUCUUGGUUGUAUGUACGGUAACAUCUGAGCAAAAUUGAAGUUAUAAAGGGGCCUUCUUUAAUUAAAA
rnacentral:misc_RNA from 1 species